ensembl:lncRNA
CAUUUUGGAGUCACAUUUAUUGUAAAUAAUAAUAGAAUAUAGUUCUAAACACUUCUACAUGAAUGUGGAUGCUGCCUUGAUUACGGAUAGUCCUGAAUGAAUCGUGAAUAAUGAUUAGUGAGAAAGUUCACCCUAUAAACGGUUCACCCGAUAUGAAUGAAAAUACCCUCAAAUUAAACCUAACAGUCUGCACUUUAACCUCAUCGUCAUUGUAUCAUUUCAAAUCCAAAGUGCUGGAGUACAGAGCCAAAACAACAAAAAAUGUGUCACUGUCCCAAUACUUUUGGAGCUCACUGUAUAUAUAAUAUAUGACCUGUGCAUCUCAUUCCACUAGUGGAUUCCAAAAAGCUGUCUACUGGACUGUGUAUCCUUGUGGGAGUGGCCCCUACCCCUAACCUAACAUCCGAGUUAUUUUCUUACUAUGUUAGCCAAAAGGAUUUCAGCAGAACCCCCUGCUCCCCCUCUACUCUCCCUCCCUCCACCCCUCCACAUCACGCUUAAUUUAAACCCAUGGCUGAGUUAGUGUGCUGCUUGAAAUACCACACUAUUUCUCCCAGAACCCUGUGGGAGAUUGGCGGGUCCCGGCUGGACUGAGCGAAAGAGAGAAAAAGUGCCACAAGACAAAAAUAUCAGACUUUGGGACGUGAUGAAGAAAGCCUUUAUACUGCGAGAAACAAAAAACUGCUUGUGUUGCAAUGCACACCUCCUAGGAUUGAAGGUAUUCCCCCUCGUUCUGGACCAGUGCUACCUCCAGACCAUUGACUGCAUCCAGAAACUAAAGUCAACAACCCAAGCUGUGAACGCAGAGGUUAAAGUUAGCCGUCAGUAUUUGAGGGAUACUGUGUGUGUGUGUGAACAUUUCUCUAGGCCCUGAAAACGAACGGACAGUAUGUGUGCCCCUCUAUGAGUCCAUUCAUUCCCACUGUAGCAACUUUCUCAAACACACUGCUUCAGCUGACUCCUAAUCUGUUCAUUUACAGUAAGUAGGGAGGAAAGCAAGCCAAGGCCGUGGUUUUACAACAAAGGUGUAGGCUACACUGUAACAGAAAACUAAUUUAUACGGUAAUGUUAGGUAUUAUCAACAGCGAAAAGAACUAACGUUUUACUGCAGCAUGCUGUAAAUUAUGGUGCAUUGUGGGAAAAUUGUUGUAUUUCGAAUGUUACUGCAAUUCCACCCCACAGAAUACAGUACUGUACCUUAUCUUUGGAGUGGCAAAACCCUUUUGACCACUAGUGGGUGCAUAGUAUUGUUGAUUCUGGCUCAUUAAUAUAUUUUAAAUUGUGCCUUGUAAGACAAUAUAUUUGUUACACCCAUGAGUGAGAAUGCUGUACCAAUUUAACUCGUGUGGUUAUAGUGCCCCUUCAAUUUAAAAUGUAUAGAUGGGUUAGCUGACAAUGUGAAGGGUCCCAAUUUACGUUCAGUGCAUGUCACUAGAUGGCAGUAUGGUCAAUUCUGUUUCCAUUUUCGACCCCUGAUGAAAUGAGGUUGACAAUGAAUUAUCAUUUAAUUAACAUUUUAUCUGAUUUCACUACAGACAAAAUAUAUUAAUUUGUGCAGCUUUAUUUUCUAUACAAAACAAUUAUCCCUUCCGUUGUCACUUUUUAUUCAUAACCUCCCACUGGGCAAGAUGGCAAUUCAGCAACUAUUCCACGUUGGUUCAAUGUAAUUGCAUUGAAAUUACGUGGAAACAACAUUGAUUCCACCAGUGUGUGCCCAGUGGGCUUUGUGUUCCAGACUAAUCUUUUGACAUGUACAUGUACUGCUUUAAUUUCCAGGAAGAACACAUUUCUCAAAAAUAAUCAAAGAUUAGAUGUUUUCUGAGCAUUCACCUAAUGGCAAAUCUGCCAGCCUACAAAUAAACAUAUUUAUUCUGAAAAUGAAUGGAAGCACAACAUUUUGUGUGAUUUACCAAUUUGGUCAAAUUGUCAGUGGGCACACACCUUGUCAGCUAAACCCAACUCUAUCAUAG